rnacentral:lncRNA from 1 species
ACAAAUGCAUAGCUUUAAUGAUUUUAAUCAGUUUCAUUCAAUGCAAGCUCACAACACAAGCACAUCACACUUAAGAAUUGCCACAUCUGAUGGCCCUAUGUUGCUUAAUAUACAGGCACUGCCGUAAUGGAAAGCAUAGCUUGAGAAUAGCACCUAGAAAUGGUGUGCACAGCACGUGUGGGACAACCCAGGAGCAGCUCGGGACCAAGAGGCUGUAGAUCAACACUGAGAGGGCUCUCACCCCUCCAGACCCACUCACAAUAAUUGAUGACUGACAUACAGAUGACAGUAUAGCUAUGCUUUUGACAGGAAUGAGUCUGUCUGACAAUCACAGGAACCUCCACUGCAUCAAUCAUGGGUGAUAUGGAAGCAAAGCAGGCAGUUUUUAGGUUUACAUCAGCGAAUUCAGUAAUUACAUUAGCAUGAGGUCACAUGUGAAUGUUGCUUUAUUGUGAGCAGAGCAAGCUAAGCAUAAAUAUAUGUUGCAUAAUGCUCUACACUACAAUCACACUUUAAAAGAGACCAUGCCUCAAUUUGUUUAAAAAGUCUGUAGUCUAAAGAGGUGAAAUACGCAUUUUGAUCUUAAAUGUAAAGCAAGAUCGUGUUGGUUUGCUAAACGUGGUGUGUUUGUUUACUCAUUCGACGUCUAACUGCUAAUUUGUGGUGUAACACUGUCAAACGAUCUUUAAACAUGCAGUU